ACAUGCAAAUGUAGCCUCAACCUUUGUGGGAGAGGCGUUUUUGUUAGACUAAAACCAAUCGGGGAGCAAUCCCUGUCGAUUUGGUGAGUCUGAACAACUUUGAGCGGAUCGCAUGGUCUUGUACCGGCGACAACUCUUUCAAAUGUCUGCCUUAUCAACUUGAUGGUAGGUUAUGUGCCUACCAUGGUGAUAACGGGUAACGGAGAAUCAGGGUUCGAUACCGGAGAGGGAGCCUGAGAAACGGCUACCACAUCCAAGGAAGGCAGCAGGCACGCAAAUUACCCACUCCCGGCACGGGGAGGUAGUUGACGAAAAAUUAACAAUACGGGACUCAUCCGAGGCCCCGUAAUUGGAAUGAGUACACUUUAAAUCCUUUAACGAGGAUCCAUU
rnacentral:rRNA from 1 species